rnacentral:rRNA from 1 species
CACUGGGCUUAAAGAGCACGUAGACGGACGGUCAAGCGUCUUGUGAAAUCCCUCGGCUUAACCGGGGAACUGCUUGGCGAACUGAUCGUCUUGAGGCAGGUAGGGGCAAGCGGAACUCUUGGUGGANCGGUGGAAUGCGUAGAUAUCAAGAGGAACGCCAGAGGCGAAGACGGCUUGCUGGGCCUGUCCUGACGCUGAGGUGCGAAAGCCAGGGUAGCGAACGGGAUUAGAUACCCCGGUAGUCCUGGCCCUAAACGAUGUCCACUAGGUCGAAGACACUCUGACGUGUUUUCGGCCGAAAUGAAAACGGUAAGUGGACCGCCUGGGGAGUACGGUCGCAAGGCUAAAACUCAAAGGAAUUGACGGGGGCUCACACAAGCGGUGGAGCAUGUUGCUUAAUUCGAUGCAACGCGAAGAACCUUAUCCUGGGCUUGACAUGCAGGGAUACCUUCCUGGAAACAGGUCGGGUUGCCCUUCGGGGUGAAACCUGUGCAGGUGCUGCAUGGCUGUCGUCAGCUCGUGUCGUGAGAUGUUGGGUUAAGUCCCGUAACGAGCGAAACCCUUGUCGUUAGUUGCCAGCGGGUAAUGCCGGGGACUCUAGCGAGACUGCCGGUGUCAAACCGGAGGAAGGUGGGGAUGACGUCAAGUCCUCAUGGCCUUUAUGCCCAGGGCUGCAAACGUGCUACAAUGGCUGGGACAAAACGACGCGAAGCCGCAAGGUGGAGCAAAUCGUAAAAAACCAGCCUCAGUUCGGAUUGGAGUCUGCAACUCGACUCCAUGAAGUUGGAAUCGCUAGUAAUCGCGUAUCAGCAUGACGCGGUGAAUGUGUUCCUGAGCCUUGUACACACCGCCCGUCAAGUCAUGGAAGCCGGGAGUACCCGAAGUCGGGGCAUUUCAGCCCUGCCGAAGGUAAGCUCGGUGACUGGGACUAAGUCGUAANAAG